rnacentral:rRNA from 1 species
CCCGCGGUAAUUCCAGCUCCAAUAGCGUAUAUUAAUACUGCUGUAGUUAAAACGCCCGUAGUAUACCUAAGAGUGUGCGUGUAGUAAUUAGUUUUGUCAGAGGACGGUCGGCGAGUGUUUAUCACACUUGCUUGCUUACUUUUGGCAAACUUCAGUCGGGCUGGAUCUUUGGUCCUCGUCUGACAGUUGCUGCGCGUGUACUUGUCCACGGUUCAUCCGUGAGGCCCAUUUGGGUUGCAACUGUAAAUAAAUCGUUGUGCUUAAAGCGGGCUAUGAUACUCUGCCAGAGCGAUUUAGCAUGGGACUGCAGAGUAGCUGUAUUUGAGUGAAGGUUGUGCUUCGGUAUGACUGGAUCUUGGUACAGCGCUUGUAAUGGAGCUCAGGGUGAGGCCCCGGGUACCAUGAGGCUAGAGGUGAAAUUCUGAGACCCUCAUGUGACCAACUAAGGCGAAAGCUGUCGUGGGCCACCACAAGCUCGUCUAUCAGGGACGAAAGUUGGGGGAUCGAAGACGAUUAGAUACCGUCGUAGUCCCAACUAUAAACGAUACCAACCGAGUAUUUGGGAAGACACUAUCCCAGCGAUCUUCUCAGAACUCAAGGGAAACCUUAAGUCUUUGGGUUCUGGGGGGAGUAUAGUCGCAAGACCGAAACUUAAAGGAAUUGACGGAAAGGCACCACCAGGAGUGGAGUCUGCGGCUUAAUUCGACUCAACACGGGGAAACUCACCAGGUCAGGACACAAGUUUGAUUGACAGGUUAAUAGCCCUUUCUUGAUUGUGUGGUGGGUAGUGCAUGGCCGUGCCAUUUCGUGGAGUGAUCUGUCUUGUA